ACAUAGCAUGAGGUUUUUCAAAUAUAAAGUGAUCAAACAAUUUUGUAUUUGUUGCAUGCAAAGGUAGAGUAAAAAUGGCUAAAACUCUUAAAGUUUUUUAUACUAUGAUCCUUUUCGUGUUCUUUUUUCUUUCUGUAAUCGAUGUUAGUGUUUUUAGUUGUAAGUCAGACAUCGAUUGUAUUCGUGUCCACUGUCCCAUUCAUCCUUAUAUAAUUUGCUUUAAUGGAGAAUGUAGGUGCUCAGCAGUUAAGAUUAUAUUAAACACGAUGCUGAUGAGUAAUCAAUAGAGCUUUUCUUGUGGAACUGAAGUGCUAGAGAAUUGUGCUUCACAUUAUUUUAAGAGUUUUAUUUUUUUACUAUCGUUGAUUUUGUGGUAUGGGUAGAGAUAUUUGGACUUCAAUAAUAUCUUUUGAAUGAGUUACUCUAUUUAAUAAUUGUUUGUAUUGUUUAAGAUUUA